rnacentral:rRNA from 1 species
AUUGAACGCUGGCGGCAUGCUUUACACAUGCAAGUCGGACGGCAGCACAGAGAAGCUUGCUUCUUGGGUGGCGAGUGGCGAACGGGUGAGUAAUAUAUCGGAACGUACCGAGUAAUGGGGGAUAACUAAUCGAAAGAUUAGCUAAUACCGCAUAUUCUCUGAGGAGGAAAGCAGGGGACCUUCGGGCCUUGCGUUAUUCGAGCGGCCGAUAUCUGAUUAGCUAGUUGGUGGGGUAAAGGCCUACCAAGGCGACGAUCAGUAGCGGGUCUGAGAGGAUGAUCCGCCACACUGGGACUGAGACACGGCCCAGACUCCUACGGGAGGCAGCAGUGGGGAGUUUUGGACAAUGGGCGCAAGCCUGAUCCAGCCAUGCCGCGUGUCUGAAGAAGGCCUUCGGGUUGUAAAGGACUUUUGUCAGGGAAGAAAAGGCUGUUGCUAAUACCGACAGCUGAUGACGGUACCUGAAGAAUAAGCACCGGCUAACUACGUG